rnacentral:misc_RNA from 1 species
GUUUAUAAAAACGAACCCGACUGCUCACUCGCAAGAGAGAGCGUUGAUCUGGGCGCUCGUGUCUCUCUGUCUGUCUGUCUGUUGUUGUCUCCUCUCUUCGAGAGUGUAGCAGCAGCAGCAGCAGCAGUCAAGACGACACGUCGCCUCAAACGAAACGCAAGAAAAAUGAUGAAUUCGUUCGUCUAGCUGGCGCGCGCGCUUACCGCUUGGAGAGUACUCGUUCGUCGAGUACUUCCGAUCGUUCUGCGUCGAGUCCCGGAGCUUCUCGCCUCGUCGAGCAGCGGACCGACGUCUAGCACACGAUCAGGCUCGUCCAUGAUUCGGUCAUUGAACGCGCGCGCGCCCCUCUUAAUCGACG